rnacentral:rRNA from 1 species
CCCUUAGAUGUUCUGGGCCGCACGCGCGCUACACUGACUGGUGCAACAAGUGUCGCUCCUUGGCCGAUAGGCCUGGGCAAUCUUUGAACGCCAGUCGUGAUGGGGAUAGAUUCUUGCAAUUUUUGAUCUUCAACGAGGAAUUCCUAGUAAACGCGAGUCAUCAACUCGCAUUGAUUACGUCCCUGCCCUUUGUACACACCGCCCGUCGCACCUACCGAUUGAAUGGUCCGGUGAAGCCUCGGGAUUGUGGCUGGUUUCCUUUAUUGGAGGUCGGUCGCGAGAACUUGUCUAAACCUUAUCAUUUAGAGGAAGGUGAAGUCGUAACA